CCCAGAGAUCACUUCAGACGAGCAGAGACACCAGUACAAAAAGGAGUUUGACUCUGAUCUGGCCCGCUAUAAGAGCCUCUGCGCCGAAAUGGAUGACAUCAGUGACCAGAUGCACAAGCUGAGCCGAGAACUGGACGUUUUGGACGAGGGCUCCAUGAAGUACCAGGGUGUGGCAGACGAGUAUAACCGACUCAAAGACCUGAAAAGGAAAUGGGAUGAUCGAUACCCC